rnacentral:rRNA from 1 species
CCGAGUUUACAACUCCCAAACCCAAUGUGAACGUUACCAAACUGUUGCCUCGGCGGGAUCUCUGCCCCGGGUGCGUCGCAGCCCCGGACCAAGGCGCCCGCCGGAGGACCAACCUAAAACUCUUAUUGUAUACCCCCUCGCGGGUUUUUUUAUAAUCUGAGCCUUCUCGGCGCCUCUCGUAGGCGUUUCGAAAAUGAAUCAAAACUUUCAACAACGGAUCUCUUGGUUCUGGCAUCGAUGAAGAACGCAGCGAAAUGCGAUAAGUAAUGUGAAUUGCAGAAUUCAGUGAAUCAUCGAAUCUUUGAACGCACAUUGCGCCCGCCAGUAUUCUGGCGGGCAUGCCUGUCCGAGCGUCAUUUCAACCCUCGAACCCCUCCGGGGGGUCGGCGUUGGGGAUCGGCCCUCCCUUAGCGGGGUGGCCGUCUCCGAAAUACAGUGGCGGUCUCGCCGCAGCCUCUCCUGCGCAGUAGUUUGCACACUCGCAUCGGGAGCGCGGCGCGUCCACAGCCGUUAAACACCCAACUUCUGAAAUGUUGACCUCGGAUCAGGUAGGAAUACCCGCUGAACUUAAGCAUAUCAAUAAGGCGGAGGAA